GAGUUUGAUCCUGGCUCAGAACGAACGCUGGCGGCAGGCUUAACACAUGCAAGUCGAACGCGUGUGGCAAUACACGAGUGGCGCACGGGUGAGUAACGCGUGGAUAUCUGCCUUUUGGUUCGGAAUAACCUUGGGAAACCGAGGCUAAUACCGGAUGGUUCCUACGGGAUAAAGAUUUAUCGCCAAAAGAUGAGUCCGCGUCCGAUUAGCUAGUUGGUGAGGUAACGGCUCACCAAGGCGACGAUCGGUAGCUGGUCUGAGAGGACGAUCAGCCACACUGGGACUGAGACACGGCCCAGACUCCUACGGGAGGCAGCAGUGGGGAAUAUUGGACAAUGGGGGCAACCCUGAUCCAGCCAUGCCGCGUGAGUGAUGAAGGCCUUCGGG
rnacentral:rRNA from 1 species